CACGUAGGGUGCGAGCGUUGUCCGGAAUUAUUGGGCGUAAAGGGCUCGUAGGCGGUUUGUCGCGUCGGGAGUGAAAACGCCGUGCUUAACACGGCGCUUGCUUUCGAUACGGGCAGACUAGAGGUAUGCAGGGGAGAACGGAAUUCCUGGUGUAGCGGUGAAAUGCGCAGAUAUCAGGAGGAACACCGGUGGCGAAGGCGGUUCUCUGGGCAUUACCUGACGCUGAGGAGCGAAAGUGUGGGGAGCAAACAGG
rnacentral:rRNA from 1 species